rnacentral:rRNA from 1 species
UACAGGGGGUGCAAACGUUGCUCGGAAUUAUUGGGCGUAAAGCGCGCGUAGGCGGCUACCUAAGUCGGAUGUGAAAGCCCCUGGCUUAACCGGGGAAGUGCACCCGAAACUGGGUAGCUAGAGUGCAAAAGAGGGUCGCGGAAUUCCCAGUGUAGAGGUGAAAUUCGUAGAUAUCUGGAGGAACACCGGUGGCGAAGGCGGCAUCCUGGACCGGCAUUGACGCUGAGGCGCGAAAGCUAGGGGAGCAAACGGG